UACGUAGGGUGCGAGCGUUGGCCGGAAUUAUUGGGCGUAAAGAGCUCGUAGGCGGCCUGUCGCGUCGGAUGUGAAAGCCCGGGGCUUAACCCCGGGUCUGCAUUCGAUACGGGCAGGCUAGAGUGUGGUAGGGGAGAUCGGAAUUCCUGGUGUAGCGGUGAAAUGCGCAGAUAUCAGGAGGAACACCCGUAGCGAAGGCGGCACUCUGGGCCGGAACUGACGCUGAGGAGCGAAAGCGUGGGGAGCAAACAGG
rnacentral:rRNA from 1 species